rnacentral:rRNA from 1 species
GACGUAGGAUGCAAGCGUUGUCCGGAUUUAUUGGGCGUAAAGCGUUCGUAGGUGGUUUGUUAAGUCUGAUGUUAAAGACUGGGGCUCAACCUCGGAAAUGCAUUGGAUACUGGCAGACUUGAGUGUGGUAGAGGCAAUCGGAAUUCCAGGUGUAGCGGUGAAAUGCGUAGAUAUCUGGAAGAACACCGGUGGCGCAAGCGGAUUGCUGGGCCAUAACUGACACUGAGGAACGAAAGCUAGGGGAGCAAAUGGG